AACGAACGCUGGCGGCAUGCCUAACACAUGCAAGUCGAACGAGACCUUCGGGUCUAGUGGCGCACGGGUGCGUAACGCGUGGGAACCUGCCCUUAGGCUCGGAAUAACUCCCCGAAAGGGGUGCUAAUACCGGAUAAUGUCUUCGGACCAAAGAUUUAUCGCCUUUGGAUGGGCCCGCGUUGGAUUAGCUAGUUGGUAGAGUAAAAGCCUACCAAGGCGACGAUCCAUAGCUGGUCUGAGAGGAUGAUCAGCCACACUGGGACUGAGACACGGCCCAGACUCCUACGGGAGGCAGCAGUGGGGAAUAUUGGACAAUGGGCGAAAGCCUGAUCCAGCAAUGCCGCGUGAGUGAUGAAGGCCUUAGGGUUGUAAAGCUCUUUUACCCGGGAUGAUAAUGACAGUACCGGGAGAAUAAGCUCCGGCUAACUCCGUG
rnacentral:rRNA from 1 species